UUAUGCACAAACCAUGCUUGAUCCACACCAAUGUUUUGUAGCAGGAAACUAAAGAAGUUGGUCAAGAGACUGAAACCGCAGCUGCUGAAGAUGCACCGAAUGUUAUUCCUGAGCUGACUAAAAACAAGAGGGUAAAUGCAGUGGCCAAGGGUGCCAGCAUUCCAAAGAAAGCAAAGCAGUAGUUCUUCAAUAGGCUAGGCUCGCCGUGUACAUAUGGGUAUCUUCUAUGUUCUGCUUUCUUAUCAAGCUAAGUUAGCUGCUAGAUGGAUAUGCUGGUCAAGAGAGCUUCUCAGCUCUACUGCAUCGUAGCAGCGGUCUCGCCGUCGGGUGUGAAGAUCGCCAGCCCGGCACACUUUUGGUUAUGCAUCUGAUGUAUUUUGUGCACCUUUCUAAGACACGGCUUUGGCAUCUGUGGAGCUAUGUCAAGCCCUUGUCAUGACAAUUCCUCUAUUUAGGCGCUCAAACAGACCAUCUGCUAUGCGUUGUAAAUAUCACGUUGGCC